UACGGAGGAUUCAAGCGUUAUCCGGAUUUAUUGGGUUUAAAGGGUGCGUAGGCGGUCUGAUAAGUUAGAGGUGAAAUCCCGGGGCUUAACUCCGGAAUUGCCUCUGAUACUGUUGGGCUAGAGAGUAGUUGCGGUAGGCGGAAUGUAUGGUGUAGCGGUGAAAUGCUUAGAGAUCAUACAGAACACCGAUUGCGAAGGCAGCUUACCAAACUAUAUCUGACGUUGAGGCACGAAAGCGUGGGGAGCAAAUAGG
rnacentral:rRNA from 1 species